CCGAAGGUAGUGCGCUAACCGCAAGGAGGCAGCGACCACGGUAGGGUCAGCGACUGGGGUG
rnacentral:rRNA from 1 species